UACAGAGGUCUCGAGCGUUAGGCGGAAUCACUGGGCUUAAAGCGUGUGUAGGCGGAUCGGUAAGUACCUUGUGAAAUCCCACAGCUUAACUGUGGAACUGCUUGGUAUACUGCCAGUCUUGAGCCACUUAGGGGCUACCGGAACAAAUGGUGGAGCGGUGAAAUGCGUAGAUAUCAUUUGGAACGCCAAUGGUGAAAACAGGUAGCUGGGAGUGUGCUGACGCUGAGACACGAAAGCCAGGGGAGCAAACGGGG
rnacentral:rRNA from 1 species